CCGCAGCUCGGGCCAGUCCUUUCGCCCGCAGUAACGUGCCGCCAGAACGGCCCUCGCAGGUCCCGCGCUGACCCGCAGGGGGAAGAGAGGAACCGGGUGAAUGUGGGGGAUGCAGCGGGCUCUCUCUGCGCCGGAGCCCGCGGACCGAGCGCGGACUCGCCGCGCCUACCGCCUCUUCCGCAGUCGGUACCAGCGCUGGGGAGCUGUCCGCCCUGUGGUUCUGAACCAGGCGCUGCGGAAACGCUCCAGAUGGUCAUCAAAAGGCCUGUGGCCUGAAGUGCAUAGAUGGCCUGGCGUGCCCUCGGAAUAGUAACCAAGUUCGCACAGCCUCCAGCUACGGUAACUUGGUAGGGACUCCCACCUGCUCAGCACCAACUCUAAGACAAUUCCUGGUGCUGGAGAUGUGAAAUGUGAAAGGAAAAAAAGCAGAUAUCCUAGAAUCAAUAAAGAUGGUAUAUUUCUUCCUGUCGGAACUUUUACAAUUUUUGAUUUUGCAAAUUGCCAAGCUGCUGCCAGGAGCAAAACUGAACAAAAAUUUUCAAGUGGCAGAGACUGCCCUGGCCAGCCCUUGACUACACAGGCCAAGUCAGGCUCGGGGAGUCUGUGUGUUGCUAGGUCACUAUGGAUUGAGGAAGCAGAGUCCAGGCAGCUGCUGCUUCUCCCGACAUUGCCUUCAUCACCCAAAAAGCGUGAGCUGGAGGGUUGCAGAUGAAACCUUCACUACCACUGACAAGGCAUAACAAAGAGUUUUUCUACAAACGAUCUGUGGUUGUGGAAGAAAUUAACUCCGCAAUUUGUGGCUGAUUUCAAAGCCUCUAAAGAGGUGGUGGACGACCAGGCAAAGUAUGAC
rnacentral:lncRNA from 1 species